GUGCGCAACGCGUAUGGAACCUACCUUGUACAGGGGAAUAGCCCAGGGAAACUUGGAUUAAUGCCCCGUGGUACCAUGACCCGGCAUCGGGAUAUGGUUAAAGCCUUCGGGCGGUACAAGAUGGCCAUGCGUCCCAUUAGUUUGUUGGUAAGGUAACGGCUUACCAAGACUACGAUGGGUAGGGGCCCUGAGAGGGGGAUCCCCCACACUGGUACUGAGACACGGACCAGACUCCUACGGGAGGCAGCAGUGAGGAAUAUUGGACAAUGGAGGAGACUCUGAUCCAGCCAUGCCGCGUGCAGGAAGAAUGCCCUAUGGGUAGUAAACUGCUUUUAUACGGGAAGAAAAAGAGCUACGUGUAGCUUACUGACGGUACCGUAAGAAUAAGGACCGGCUAACUCCGUGCCAGCAGCCGCGGUAAUACGGAGGGUCCGAGCGUUAUCCGGAAUUAUUGGGUUUAAAGGGUCCGUAGGCGGGCCGAUAAGUCAGGGGUGAAAGUCUGCCGCUCAACGGUAGAACUGCCUUUGAUACUGUCGGUCUUGAGUUAUAGUGAAGUUGCCGGAAUAUGUAGUGUAGCGGUGAAAUGCAUAGAUAUUACAUAGAACACCGAUUGCGAAGGCAGGUGACUAACUAUAUACUGACGCUGAUGGACGAAAGCGUGGGGAGCGAACAGGAUUAGAUACCCUGGUAGUCCACGCCGUAAACGAUGGAUACUAGCUGUCCGGAACCUUGAGUUCUGGGCGGCCAAGCGAAAGUGAUAAGUAUCCCACCUGGGGAGUACGUUCGCAAGAAUGAAACUCAAAGGAAUUGACGGGGGCCCGCACAAGCGGUGGAGCAUGUGGUUUAAUUCGAUGAUACGCGAGGAACCUUACCAGGGCUUAAAUGCAUAUUGACAGGUCUAGAGAUAGAUUUUCCUUCGGGCAAUUUGCAAGGUGCUGCAUGGUUGUCGUCAGCUCGUGCCGUGAGGUGUCAGGUUAAGUCCUAUAACGAGCGCAACCCCUACCGUUAGUUGCCAGCAUGUCAUGAUGGGGACUCUAACGGGACUGCCGGUGCAAACCGUGAGGAAGGUGGGGAUGACGUCAAAUCAUCACGGCCCUUACGUCCUGGGCCACACACGUGCUACAAUGGCAGGUACAGAGAGCAGCCAUGUCGCAAGGCAGAGCGAAUCUAUAAAACCUGUCACAGUUCGGAUCGGGGUCUGCAACUCGACCCC
rnacentral:rRNA from 2 species